rnacentral:rRNA from 1 species
UACGAAGGGAGCUAGCGUUGUUCGGAUUCAUUGGGCGUAAAGGGUGCGUAGGUGGCGCCGUAAGUCAGGUGUGAAAUUUCGGAGCUCAACUCCGAAACUGCAUUUGAUACUGCGGUGCUUGAGGACUGGAGAGGAGACUGGAAUUCACGGUGUAGCAGUGAAAUGCGUAGAUAUCGUGAGGAAGACCAGUGGCGAAGGCGGGUCUCUGGACAGUUCCUGACACUGAGGCACGAAGGCCAGGGGAGCAAACGGG